AUUGAACGCUGGCGGCAGGCCUAACACAUGCAAGUCGAACGGUAACAGGAAACAGCUUGCUGUUUCGCUGACGAGCGGCGGACGGGUGAGUAAUGUCUGGGAAGCUGCCUGAUGGAGGGGGAUAACUACUGGAAACGGUAGCUAAUACCGCAUAACGUCGCAAGACCAAAGAGGGGGACCCUCGGGCCUCUUGCCAUCGGAUGUGCCCAGAUGGGAUUAGCUUGUUGGUGGGGUAACGGCUCACCAAGGCGACGAUCCCUAGCUGGUCUGAGAGGAUGACCAGCCACACUGGAACUGAGACACGGUCCAGACUCCUACGGGAGGCAGCAGUGGGGAAUAUUGCACAAUGGGCGCAAGCCUGAUGCAGCCAUGCCGCGUGUAUGAAGAAGGCCUUCGGGUUGUAAAGUACUUUCAGCGGGGAGGAAGGGAGUAAAGUUAAUACCUUUGCUCAUUGACGUUACCCGCAGAAGAAGCACCGGCUAACUCCGUG
rnacentral:rRNA from 1 species